rnacentral:tRNA from 1 species
GGGGGUAUAGCUCAGUGGAAGAUUGCAUGCUUAGUAUACACAAGACCCUGGGUUCAAUCCCCAAUAUCCCUC